CCUACGGGAGGCAGCAGUGAGGAAUAUUGGUCAAUGGACGAGAGUCUGAACCAGCCAAGUAGCGUGAAGGAUGACUGCCCUAUGGGUUGUAAACUUCUUUUAUAAAGGAAUAAAACGAGGCACGUGUGCCUUUUUGCAUGUACUUUAUGAAUAAGGAUCGGCUAACUCCGUGCCAGCAGCCGCGGUAAUACGGAGGAUCCGAGCGUUAUCCGGAUUUAUUGGGUUUAAAGGGAGCGUAGAUGGGUUGUUCAGUCAGUUGUGAAAGUUUGCGGCUCAACCGUAAAAUUGCAAUUGAUACUGGCAGUCGUGAGUACAGUUGAGGUAGGCGGAAUUCGUGGUGUAGCGGUGAAAUGCUUAGAUAUCACGAAGAACCCCGAUUGCGAAGGCAGCUUACUAAACUGUGACUGACAUUGAUGCUCGAAAGUGUGGGUAUCAAACAGGAUUAGAUACCCCUGUAGUC
rnacentral:rRNA from 1 species